rnacentral:rRNA from 1 species
CCUACGGGUGGCAGCAGUAGGGAAUAUUGCACAAUGGGGGAAACCCUGAUGCAGCAACGCCGCGUGGAGGAAGAAGGUUUUCGGAUUGUAAACUUCUUUUGUUAGAGAAGAAAAUGACGGUAUCUAACGAAUAAGCACCGGCUAACUCCGUGCCAGCAGCCGCGGUAAUACGGAGGGCGCAAGCGUUACGCGGAAUGACUGGGCGUAAAGAGAGCGUAGGCGGUUUAGCAAGUCAGAUGUGAAAGCCCAUGGCUCAACCAUAGAACUGCAUUUGAAACUGUUAUACUUGAGUAUAGGAGAGGUGAGUGGAAUUCUUGGUGUAGCGGUAAAAUCCGUAGAGAUCAGGAGGAAUACUCGUGGCGAAGGCGGCCUGCUGGACCAUAACUGACGCUGAGGCGCGAAAGCGUGGGGAGCAAACAGGAUUAGAUACCCCAGUAGUC